CUUCCGAAGAACCAUUUGCUGCUGAGGUGUCUACCUACAGUUUGGAAAAAAGAAAGAAUACAAGGAGAGAAUUAUCUGAGCUCAAGCUUAACCAAGACCCAGGUCGGCACCCAUCUUCGUUUUUGUAACCAGGAGGCAAGAUAACCGUCCUUUGAAACACUGUAUCAAUCAUAUAGAUGAAACUGUAGUUUUCAUAUAUUGAGGGGAGCAGCCUUAGUGAGCAAGCAGAGACAGCCGAGCAUGGCGAAUGGAUUUCAAGUGGAGUGUCUGGGCCACUGAUUCUGUGUCAGCUAACCUUUCUCUGCAGCCUACAAGAGGGGACGUAUGUCUGCUCAUUACCAUAAUCCAACACUGUCCCUCCGAGGCUUUAAUUAAAAGCAGCAAGCAGAGCUAACAGAGCAUGAAACUUUGGUCAGCCUCUUUUUCCAUUCACUCCGCUACAUCCGGCAAAUGUCAAGUAUUGGGCUGUAUCUGCCAGACAGAAAUAAGAGAAAAUAUCCAUAAAGUAGAAACUUACUUUAUCACAGCAUCUAUCUCUGGGCAUCUUUUACCCCACACACGUAGCCUUUCUGACCUCUAACUGCAAAUUUAAAUACGUUAAAAAAUAAAAAGCCUGCAGAACCUCUCAUCUCCUUUUCAACGGAAUCCUAUUCUCUCCUUUUCAGUUUCCUCAAUUCAGCGUUUUAUGCCUCAAUUUCUCUCCUCCUUUUAAAAGUCUCUUUCACACAAGCGUUUCAUUGUGCCGGGAGGUCGCCCCGUCACUUCGGGCAACAGCA